CAAGUUAGGUGAAGGUGGAUUUGGAGUGGUUUACAAGGUGAGAAAUUUUUUCUAUGUGUGCAUGACUAUACAAUUUUUGCUAGAAGCUCUCUUUCUGUUGAGGUAAAUGAUCUAAUGAUCUAUUAAUUAGAUGGACUAUAACAAUUCGGUGGGAUUCUUUUUCAGGGCAUACUUCCUAAUGGACAGGAAAUUGCUGUGAAAAGGCUGUCUUUAUACUCAGGGCAAGGUCUAGAACAAUUUAAGAAUGAGGUUGUAUUGGUGUCCAAGCUACAACACAGAAAUCUUGUGAGGCUAUUGGGAUUUUGCGUGGAAGGAGAAGAAAAGAUACUCAUCUAUGAAUUUGUGCCCAACAAAAGUCUUGACUACUUCCUAUUCGAUCCUGAAAAACAAGGACUGUUAGAUUGGUCAAGACGUUACAAGAUUUUAGGAGGGAUAGCUCGAGGAAUUCUUUAUCUCCAUGAAGAUUCUCGGCUUAGAAUUAUACAUCGUGAUCUCAAAACUAGCAAUAUAUUGCUAGAUGCAGAUUUGAACUCCAAAAUUUCAGAUUUUGGAAUGGCGAAGAUUUUAGGAGUAGAUCAAACUCAGGACAAUACAAACAGGAUUGUCGGAACAUAUGGUUAUUUAUCUCCUGAGUACGCUAUGCACGGUCAAUAUUCUUUGAAGUCUGAUAUCUAUAGUUUCGGUGUUAUUGUUCUGGAGAUUAUAAGUGGCAAGAAGAUUAGUUCUUUUGAUCAAUCAGACGAUGCUGAGGAUCUCUUGAGCUAUGCAUGGAAACACUGGAGCAAAGGAACAGCCUUGCAAUUUAUGGAUGAGGCUUUAAUGGAUUCAUAUUCGAAAAAUGAAGUGAUCAGAUGCUUACAACUUGGUUUAUUAUGUGUUCAAGAAAAUCCAGCUAAGAGGCCUACAAUGGGAACAAUAGUUCUUAUGCUGGAUAGUUACUCUGUUGCUCUUCCAAUGCCUCAGAAACCAGCAUUUUUUCUUCACAGUGGAACAAAUCAGUGGAAAGAAUUGGGACCCAAUCAAACCGCAAGCAAGUCAAUGCCAUGUUCCGUGGAUGAGGCCUCCAUCACUGAGGUAUACCCUCGGUAGAAAUGAGCAAAUAUAGGCUCACACAGAAUUAAUAAGCUUUUGAAUUGUACUAUUUUCUGAAAACUUUUAUUUGGAAAAACCAUAUAUGGUUUUUGUCGCAACAGAAUUGGAAAAUGUAUGUGAUAUUAUGCCUUUCCCAUAUAAUGAGAUGAAAUGUAACGCUGUUAUCUCAGGUCUUGAAAAGGGAAAAGUUCUCAAUAGAGACGCAGAUUAGGCACAAAAUUGGGGUAAAUUAUAUCAUAUGUUAUUUAACUUUUGAGGUAGUUUUAAGUUGUU
rnacentral:misc_RNA from 1 species